AGCGGACGCUGGCGGCAGGCCUAACACAUGCAAGUCGAACGAACUCUUCGGAGUUAGUGGCGGACGGGUGAGUAACACGUGGGAACGUGCCUUUAGGUUCGGAAUAACUCAGGGAAACUUGUGCUAAUACCGAAUGUGCCCUUCGGGGGAAAGAUUUAUCGCCUUUAGAGCGGCCCGCGUCUGAUUAGCUAGUUGGUGAGGUAAAGGCUCACCAAGGCGACGAUCAGUAGCUGGUCUGAGAGGAUGAUCAGCCACACUGGGACUGAGACACGGCCCAAACUCCUACGGGAGGCAGCAGUGGGGAAUCUUGCGCAAUGGGCGAAAGCCUGACGCAGCCAUGCCGCGUGAAUGAUGAAGGUCUUAGGAUUGUAAAAUUCUUUCACCGGGGACGAUAAUGACGGUACCCGGAGAAGAAGCCCCGGCUAACUUCGUG
rnacentral:rRNA from 1 species